UAAUUUUCGAAUACCUCACUUGACAAUAUAUCUUUCAGUAUAGAGUUUGAUAUAGCUUAUACUGAUGUUGGUGUCGCCAAGUUUAUCCUUUACUUUUUCACAGAAACAUGUUUUUUUAGAUAUAACAUAAAUCUAUAAAUUGAACUGUGAUUAAUCUGAUGUGAGGACAAACUAUUUGUAUUAAAUAUGAUGCUUACACAUAUAUUUCCCUCGAUAUAAUGAUAGCACAAAAUGAUCCGUGGUAUUGUUGUUAUGUAAGUCAAAUUAUGAUAUAAGCAACUAAAGUAUGCUCUUUUACUGAAUUACUGCCUGCUUUUUGUUUACAUCCAGGAGAACUUCUAAUGAUAUAUAGUAAAACUUAAAAAUGUUUUCGUGUUUGUUCAAAUGAUAUCGUUUUCGUUUUUGUAUAAAAAUGGAAUUAAUUUCAUUGUUUCUUAUUUCAUGAAUUUUUGUCAAAAAUGUGAUCAAUUCUUAAAUAUAAA
rnacentral:lncRNA from 1 species